rnacentral:snRNA from 1 species
GCACUUCCAAAGUACAUAUACUAAAAUUGGAACGAUACAGAGAAGAUUAGCGUGGCCCCUGCUCAAAGAUGAUACUCAAAAUCGUGGAGCGUUCUAUUUUUUU